GAACUCUGAGAAUGGUGAAUACAAGUCUCUAGUAAAAUCCUCCAGAUGUAGAAGUCAGGAUACAGGGGAAUGGAAAAGGAACUCUCCCUUCAAACCUCCCCAUCAACUGAAUGCUUAAGCAAAGAAAUGGGACACACACUGAGAUCUGUGUGUCAACUGACUUGGACCGUUUCAGAUCAUAUUGGCUCUCCGGGCCACAUCAUAUUGAGAACUCGUAUUCAACUGAUGACCCACCA